rnacentral:rRNA from 1 species
CUAGAGUAUUAAUAGUUAUAUUCUUUAAACUUAAAAAAUUUGGCGGUAUUUUAGUCUAUUCAGAGGAACCUGUUUUGUAAUCGAUAAUCCACGUUGGACCUUACUUAAUUUUAUUAAUUAGUUUGUAUACCGUCGUUAUAGAAAAUUUUAUAAGAAUAAUAAUUUUCAAUAAAUUUAAUAAAAUUAUAUAUCAGAUCAAGGUGCAGCAUAUAAUUAAGUUAAUAAUGGGUUACAAUAAAAUUAUUUAUAUGGAAAUAAAUAUGAAAAAUUUAUUGAAAGUGGAUUUGAAAGUAAAAUUAUAAAGAUUAUUAAUUUGAUUUUAGCUCUAAAAUAUGUACAUAUCGCCCGUCACUCUUAUUUAUUAAGAUAAGAUAAGUCGUAA